rnacentral:rRNA from 1 species
UACGAAGGGGGCUAGCGUUGCUCGGAAUUACUGGGCGUAAAGGGCGCGUAGGCGGAUAUCUAAGUUGGGGGUGAAAUCCCGGGGCUCAACCUCGGAAUUGCCUUCAAAACUGGAUAUCUUGAGUUCGGGAGAGGUGAGUGGAACUCCGAGUGUAGAGGUGAAAUUCGUAGAUAUUCGCAAGAACACCAGUGGCGAAGGCGGAUCACUGGCCAGAUACUGACGCUGAGGCACGAAAGCGUGGGGAGCAAACAGG